UCCAGACUCCUACGGGAGGCAGCAGUGAGGAAUAUUGGUCAAUGGGCGGGAGCCUGAACCAGCCAUGCCGCGUGAAGGCGAGUGCCCUACGGGCGUUAAACUUCUUUUGUGCGGGAGCAAUAAGGGCCACGCGUGGCCCGAUGAGAGUACCGCACGAAUAAGCAUCGGCUAACUCCGUGCCAGCAGCCGCGGUAAUACGGGGGAUGCGAGCGUUAUCCGGAUUUAUUGGGUUUAAAGGGUGCGUAGGCGGCGCUUCAGGUCAGCGGUGAAAUACCGGGGCUCAACCCCGGGGCUGCAUUGGAAACUGCGAGGCUGGAGUGUCGGAGGGGCAGGCGGAAUUCCUGGUGUAGCGGUGAAAUGCGUAGAUAUCAGGAGGAACACCGGUGGCGAAGGCGGCCUGCUGGACUGCGACUGACGUUGAGGCCCGAAAGCGUGGGGAGCAAACAGGAUUAGAUACCCGAGUA
rnacentral:rRNA from 1 species